rnacentral:lncRNA from 12 species
ACAUCUAUAUUAAUGAUUGAGAUUAACAUAGGCAUUUUCUUACUCUGGUCUUAUCUGGUUUUAAUAUCAAGAUUAUUCUGACCUCAUAAAAUAAAUUAGAAAGAGAGAGGCAUGUUUCACGUUUUCCAUUCCUUUAAUAGAAAUUUUGUUUUGUUUGUUGGUAAGAUUGUAAUGAUUUAUUCUUCGAAUAGUUGAUAUGACUCAUCUAUAAAACCACUGGCCCUGUUAAUUAUAGAAUGGGUGUUUGCCAUGGAUCCAGGAUACUCGGAGGCAAUCAUAUGAAUGAAGAAAAACUCGGAGUCUCAAUGAAUUUUAAUCCGGGGGACAGGGGGACUGAGACUCAGACUCAGACUCAGACUCAAACCAGACCUGGACUCUGACUGAGGCUUUGUCACCUCCAGUUUUUAUUAAGAGAGCCAGCAGUUUGGCUAUAGGAAUGAUUAACUUUGGGAAGCAGAGGAAAACAUGUUUAUUUCAAAAGGUAAAAGAAUAGGCUAUUGACUCAAGGAGAGGGGAGCGGAGCAGCUGUAUCUGGGGAGUACAAUGUGGCCAAGAGUCAGCAUGAGGACUCAGGAUCUCCCGUGUCCCCAGUGUGCCGAGGACUGGGAGAUUCAGUUCUCAGGCUCCACAGCUGGUUCCCCACAGAUAUUUUGAAGAUGGUCAGGAAUCCAGCAAUCCUUUGAUCUUCACAGCUAUACCUUACAAUGACUCCUUUGACUUGUCCUUGGGAUCUGCAUUGGACACUACAGGAUUCAAAGCCAUGGUUCUCACACCACUUGUAUCAGAAUCAGCUGGAUUCCUGGGCCUCAACUCACACUCACUGAAUCAUCCGUUGGUAAGGCCAAGACAUUUGAACUUCUACAGACAAGUUAUAUAGCUAUAUGUAUGC